rnacentral:rRNA from 1 species
GGUUAAGCGACUAAGCGUACACGGUGGAUGCCCUGGCAGUCAGAGGCGAUGAAGGACGUGCUAAUCUGCGAUAAGCGUCGGUAAGGUGAUAUGAACCGUUAUAACCGGCGAUUUCCGAAUGGGGAAACCCAGUGUGAUUCGUCACACUAUCAUUAACUGAAUCCAUAGGUUAAUGAGGCGAACCGGGGGAACUGAAACAUCUAAGUACCCCGAGGAAAAGAAAUCAACCGAGAUUCCCCCAGUAGCGGCGAGCGAACGGGGAGGAGCCCAGAGCCUGAAUCAGUGUGUGUGUUAGUGGAAGCGUCUGGAAAGGCGCGCGAUACAGGGUGACAGCCCCGUACACAAAAAUGCACAUGCUGUGAGCUCGAUGAGUAGGGCGGGACACGUGGUAUCCUGUCUGAAUAUGGGGGGACCAUCCUCCAAGGCUAAAUACUCCUGACUGACCGAUAGUGAACCAGUACCGUGAGGGAAAGGCGAAAAGAACCCCGGCGAGGGGAGUGAAAAAGAACCUGAAACCGUGUACGUACAAGCAGUGGGAGCACAGAGCAAUCUGUGUGACUGCGUACCUUUUGUAUAAUGGGUCAGCGACUUAUAUUCUGUAGCAAGGUUAACCGAAUAGGGGAGCCGAAGGGAAACCGAGUCUUAACUGGGCGUUAAGUUGCAGGGUAUAGACCCGAAACCCGGUGAUCUAGCCAUGGGCAGGUUGAAGGUUGGGUAACACUAACUGGAGGACCGAACCGACUAAUGUUGAAAAAUUAGCGGAUGACUUGUGGCUGGGGGUGAAAGGCCAAUCAAACCGGGAGAUAGCUGGUUCUCCCCGAAAGCUAUUUAGGUAGCGCCUCGUGAAUUCAUCUCCGGGGGUAGAGCACUGUUUCGGCAAGGGGGUCAUCCCGACUUACCAACCCGAUGCAAACUGCGAAUACCGGAGAAUGUUAUCACGGGAGACACACGGCGGGUGCUAACGUCCGUCGUGAAGAGGGAAACAACCCAGACCGCCAGCUAAGGUCCCAAAGUCAUGGUUAAGUGGGAAACGAUGUGGGAAGGCCCAGACAGCCAGGAUGUUGGCUUAGAAGCAGCCAUCAUUUAAAGAAAGCGUAAUAGCUCACUGGUCGAGUCGGCCUGCGCGGAAGAUGUAACGGGGCUAAACCAUGCACCGAAGCUGCGGCAGCGACGCUUAUGCGUUGUUGGGUAGGGGAGCGUUCUGUAAGCCUGUGAAGGUGUACUGUGAGGUAUGCUGGAGGUAUCAGAAGUGCGAAUGCUGACAUAAGUAACGAUAAAGCGGGUGAAAAGCCCGCUCGCCGGAAGACCAAGGGUUCCUGUCCAACGUUAAUCGGGGCAGGGUGAGUCGACCCCUAAGGCGAGGCCGAAAGGCGUAGUCGAUGGGAAACAGGUUAAUAUUCCUGUACUUGGUGUUACUGCGAAGGGGGGACGGAGAAGGCUAUGUUGGCCGGGCGACGGUUGUCCCGGUUUAAGCGUGUAGGCUGGUUUUCCAGGCAAAUCCGGAAAAUCAAGGCUGAGGCGUGAUGACGAGGCACUACGGUGCUGAAGCAACAAAUGCCCUGCUUCCAGGAAAAGCCUCUAAGCAUCAGGUAACAUCAAAUCGUACCCCAAACCGACACAGGUGGUCAGGUAGAGAAUACCAAGGCGCUUGAGAGAACUCGGGUGAAGGAACUAGGCAAAAUGGUGCCGUAACUUCGGGAGAAGGCACGCUGAUAUGUAGGUGAAGUCCCUCGCGGAUGGAGCUGAAAUCAGUCGAAGAUACCAGCUGGCUGCAACUGUUUAUUAAAAACACAGCACUGUGCAAACACGAAAGUGGACGUAUACGGUGUGACGCCUGCCCGGUGCCGGAAGGUUAAUUGAUGGGGUUAGCGCAAGCGAAGCUCUUGAUCGAAGCCCCGGUAAACGGCGGCCGUAACUAUAACGGUCCUAAGGUAGCGAAAUUCCUUGUCGGGUAAGUUCCGACCUGCACGAAUGGCGUAAUGAUGGCCAGGCUGUCUCCACCCGAGACUCAGUGAAAUUGAACUCGCUGUGAAGAUGCAGUGUACCCGCGGCAAGACGGAAAGACCCCGUGAACCUUUACUAUAGCUUGACACUGAACAUUGAGCCUUGAUGUGUAGGAUAGGUGGGAGGCUUUGAAGUGUGGACGCCAGUCUGCAUGGAGCCGACCUUGAAAUACCACCCUUUAAUGUUUGAUGUUCUAACGUUGACCCGUAAUCCGGGUUGCGGACAGUGUCUGGUGGGUAGUUUGACUGGGGCGGUCUCCUCCUAAAGAGUAACGGAGGAGCACGAAGGUUGGCUAAUCCUGGUCGGACAUCAGGAGGUUAGUGCAAUGGCAUAAGCCAGCUUGACUGCGAGCGUGACGGCGCGAGCAGGUGCGAAAGCAGGUCAUAGUGAUCCGGUGGUUCUGAAUGGAAGGGCCAUCGCUCAACGGAUAAAAGGUACUCCGGGGAUAACAGGCUGAUACCGCCCAAGAGUUCAUAUCGACGGCGGUGUUUGGCACCUCGAUGUCGGCUCAUCACAUCCUGGGGCUGAAGUAGGUCCCAAGGGUAUGGCUGUUCGCCAUUUAAAGUGGUACGCGAGCUGGGUUUAGAACGUCGUGAGACAGUUCGGUCCCUAUCUGCCGUGGGCGCUGGAGAACUGAGGGGGGCUGCUCCUAGUACGAGAGGACCGGAGUGGACGCAUCACUGGUGUUCGGGUUGUCAUGCCAAUGGCACUGCCCGGUAGCUAAAUGCGGAAGAGAUAAGUGCUGAAAGCAUCUAAGCACGAAACUUGCCCCGAGAUGAGUUCUCCCUGACUCCUUGAGAGUCCUGAAGGAACGUUGAAGACGACGACGUUGAUAGGCCGGGUGUGUAAGCGCAGCGAUGCGUUGAGCUAACCGGUACUAAUGAACCGUGAGGCUUAACCUU